GCACUAUCGAGAGGCGGAAGUACAAGAACAAAGUUAAGCAUGGAGG
rnacentral:sRNA from 1 species